rnacentral:rRNA from 1 species
GAUGAACGCUGGCUACAGGCUUAACACAUGCAAGUCGAGGGGAAACGACGGGGAAGCUUGCUUCCCCGGGCGUCGACCGGCGCACGGGUGAGUAACGCGUAUCCAACCUGCCUCUGACUGAGGGAUAACCCGUCGAAAGUCGGCCUAAUACCUCAUGGCAUCGUCUGCGGGCAUCCAACGACGAUUAAAGAUUUCAUCGGUCAGGGAUGGGGAUGCGUCUGAUUAGCUUGUUGGCGGGGUAACGGCCCACCAAGGCGACGAUCAGUAGGGGUUCUGAGAGGAAGGUCCCCCACAUUGGAACUGAGACACGGUCCAAACUCCUACGGGAGGCAGCAGUGAGGAAUAUUGGUCAAUGGGCGAGAGCCUGAACCAGCCAAGUAGCGUGCAGGAUGACGGCCCUAUGGGUUGUAAACUGCUUUUAUGCGGGGAUAAAGUGAGGGACGUGUCCUUCAGUGCAGGACCGCAUA